rnacentral:rRNA from 1 species
GUUAAAAAGCUCGUAGUUGGAUUUCUGCGGGGGCGGGGCGGCCGGAUGCUUAUAGCAUCUCGAGCUAGCACUUCCCCCGCAUCCUGCCGCGAACCGUGCUACCAUUAGUUUGGUGGCGCUGGGGAUCGGCUCGUUUACUUUGAGAAAAAUAGAGUGUUCAAAGCAGGCCACACGCCUUGAAUAAGUUAGCAUGGAAUAUGAUAAAGGACUUCGGCUCUAUUUUGUUGGUGUUCGGGACUGAAGUAAUGAUUGAUAGGGACAGUUGGGGCGUCAGUAUUCCAAAGCGAGAGGUGAAAUUCUUAGACCUUCGGAAGACUAACAGCUGCGAAAGCGUUCCGCAAGGAUGUUCCCUUUGAUCAAGAACGAAAGUUGGGGGAUCGAAGACGAUCAGAUACCGUCGUAGUCUCAACUAUAAACUAUACCAGCUAGGGAUCGGCCGACGUUUACUUAUAUCGACUCGGUCGGCACCUUAUGA